rnacentral:rRNA from 1 species
AUUGAACGCUGGCGGCAGGCUUAACACAUGCAAGUCGAGCGGGGACUUCGGUCCUAGCGGCGGACGGGUGAGUAAUGCUUAGGAAUCUGCCUAUUAGUGGGGGACAACAUUUCGAAAGGAAUGCUAAUACCGCAUACGUCCUACGGGAGAAAGCAGGAGAUCUUCGGACCUUGCGCUAAUAGAUGAGCCUAAGUCGGAUUAGCUAGUUGGUGGGGUAAAGGCCUACCAAGGCGACGAUCUGUAGCGGGUCUGAGAGGAUGAUCCGCCACACUGGGACUGAGACACGGCCCAGACUCCUACGGGAGGCAGCAGUGGGGAAUAUUGGACAAUGGGCGGAAGCCUGAUUCAGCCAUGCCGCAUGUGUGAAGAAGGCCUUAUGGUUGUAAAGCACUUUAAGCGAGGAGGAGGCUACUUUAGUUAAUACCUAGAGAUAGUGGACGUUACUCGCAGAAUAAGCACCGGCUAACUCUGUGCCAGCCGCCGCGGUAAAAC